GAUGAACGCUGGCGGCGUGCCUAAUACAUGCCAGUCGAGCGAACAGACGAGGAGCUUGCUCCUCUGACGUUAGCGGCGGACGGGUGAGUAACACGUGGAUAACCUACCUAUAAGACUGGGAUAACUUCGGGAAACCGGAGCUAAUACCGGAUAAUAUAUUGAACCGCAUGGUUCAAUAGUGAAAGACGGUUUUGCUGUCACUUAUAGAUGGAUCCGCGCCGCAUUAGCUAGUUGGUAAGGUAACGGCUUACCAAGGCAUCGAUGCGUAGCCGACCUGAGAGGGUGAUCGGCCACACUGGAACUGAGACACGGUCCAGACUCCUACGGGAGGCAGCAGUAGGGAAUCUUCCGCAAUGGGCGAAAGCCUGACGGAGCAACGCCGCGUGAGUGAUGAAGGUCUUCGGAUCGUAAAACUCUGUUAUUAGGGAAGAACAAAUGUGUAAGUAACUAUGCACGUCUUGACGGUACCUAAUCAGAAAGCCACGGCUAACUACGUG
rnacentral:rRNA from 1 species